UACAGAGAUGGCGAGCGUUACUCGGAUUUAUUGGGUGUAAAGGGCAGGUAGGCGGCUAUGCAAGUUGGGGGUGAAAUCCUUAGGCUCAACCUAAGAACUGCCUUCAAAACUGCAUAGCUUGAGGCUAGAAGAGGAGAGCGGAAUUCUCGGUGUAAGAGUGAAAUCUGUAGAUAUCGAGAGGAACACCAGUGGCGAAAGCGGCUCUCUGGUCUAGAUCUGACGCUAAGCUGCGAAAGCUAGGGGAGCAAACAGGAUCAGAUACCCUGGUAGUCCUAGCCGUAAACGAUGAGUACUAGGUGUUGGAGGUUUACUUUCAGCGCCGCAAGUUAACACGUUAAGUGCUCCACCUGGGGACUACGACCGCAAGGUUAAA
rnacentral:rRNA from 1 species